GCUGGUGAUUUUAGCGGUAGGAAAACACCUCUUUCCAUUCCGAACAGAGCAGUUAAGACUACCAGCGGCGAAGAUACUCUCCAACUGAGUUGGGGUGGGAAAAUAGUUCAUUGCCAGUA
rnacentral:rRNA from 5 species